rnacentral:rRNA from 1 species
AGUGAACGCUGGCGGUAGGCCUAACACAUGCAAGUCGAACGGCAGCACAGGAGAGCUUGCUCCCUGGGUGGCGAGUGGCGGACGGGUGAGGAAUACAUCGGAAUCUACUCUGUCGUGGGGGAUAACGUAGGGAAACUUACGCUAAUACCGCAUACGACCUACGGGUGAAAGCAGGGGACCUUCGGGCCUUGCGCGAUUGAAUGAGCCGAUGUCGGAUUAGCUAGUUGGCGGGGUAAAGGCCCACCAAGGCGACGGUCCGUAGCUGGUCUGAGAGGAUGAUCAGCCACACGGGAACUGAGACAGGGUCCAGACUCCUACGGGAGGGAGCAGUGGGGAAUAUUGGACAAUGGGCGCAAGCCUGAUCCAGCCAUACCGCGUGGGUGAAGAAGGCCUUCGGGUUGUAAAGCCCUUUUGUUGGGAAAGAAAUCCAGCUGGCUAAUACCCGGUUGGGAUGACGGUACCCAAAGAAUAAGCACCGGCUAACUUCGUGCCAGCCGCCGCCGUAA